AUGCAAGUCGAGGGGCAGCGCGGGGCGGCAACGUCCUGGCGGCGACCGACGGAAGGGUGCGUAACGCGUGAGCGACAUGCCCGUUGCCCGGGGGACAACCGGUGGAAACGCCGACUAAUCCCCGAUGGGAUAUUGUGCCGCAUGGCACGAUAUUGAAAGUUACGGCGGCGACGGAUUGGCUCGCGUCCGAUUAGCUUGUUGGCGGGGUAACGGCCCACCAAGGCUACGAUCGGUAGGGGUUCUGAGAGGAAGGUCCCCACAAUGGAACUGAGACACGGUCCAUACUCC
rnacentral:rRNA from 1 species